rnacentral:rRNA from 1 species
GACGAACGCUGGCGGCGUGCUUAACACAUGCCAGUCGAACGGAAAGGCCCUGCUUUUGUGGGGUGCUCGAGUGGCGAACGGGUGAGUAACACGUGAGUAACCUGCCAUUGACUUUGGGAUAACUUCAGGAAACUGGGGCUAAUACCGGAUAGGAGCUCCUGCUGCAUGGUGGGGGUUGGAAAGUUUCGGCGGUUGGGGAUGGACUCGCGGCUUAUCAGCUUGUUGGUGGGGUAGUGGCUUACCAAGGCUUUGACGGGUAGCCGGCCUGAGAGGGUGACCGGCCACAUUGGGACUGAGAUACGGCCCAGACUCCUACGGGAGGCAGCAGUGGGGAAUAUUGCACAAUGGGCGGAAGCCUGAUGCAGCAACGCCGCGUGCGGGAUGACGGCCUUCGGGUUGUAAACCGCUUUCGCCUGUGACGAAGCGUGAGUGACGGUAAUGGGUAAAGAAGCACCGGCUAACUACGUG